GGAUCUUUUAAUAAGCAAACAUAAUUAUCUUGUGAUCAAUCAUUAAACUGGAAGAAAGGAAAGAUAAUUUUCAAUUCGAUAAGCAAAAUCCAACUACACUGUAAUCGUGAGAGAUCUAGGAAGACAGUGUGGAAAGGGUUUUGUUCUCACCCUGGAAGGAAACUAUGUACUAUAAUAUUA
rnacentral:lncRNA from 1 species